ACGGGAGGCAGCAGUGGGGGAUAUUGCACAAUGGAGGGAACUCUGAACCAGCCAUCUCGCGUGAAGGAAUACGGCCCUACGGGUCUUAAACUUCUUUUAUAGGGGGAUAAAGUGAGGCAUGCAUGCCUUUUUGUAGGUACCCUAUGAAUAAGCAUCGGCUAACUCCGUGCCAGCAGCCGCGGUAAUACGGAGGAUGCGAGCGUUAUCCGGAUUUAUUGGGUUUAAAGGGUGCGCAGGCGGCACGUUAAGUCAGCGGUGAAAUGUCGGGGCUCAACCCGGGCACUGCCGUUGAAACUGGCGAGCUCGAGUACGGAUGAAGUCGGCGGAAUGUGAUGUGUAGCGGUGAAAUGCUUAGAUAUGUCACAGAACACCGAUUGCGAAGGCAGCUGACUAAUCCGCAACUGACGCUCAUGCACGAAAGUGCGGGGAUCGAACAGGAUUAGAUACCCUGGUA
rnacentral:rRNA from 1 species